rnacentral:rRNA from 1 species
GACGGAGGGCGCUAGCGUUGCUCGGAAUCACUGGGCGUAAAGGGCGCGCAGGCGGCCCCGCGCGCCGGGCGCGAAAGCCCGGGGCUCAACCCCGGAACGGCGCCCGGGACGGCGGGGCUCGAGGCCGGGAGAGGGCGGUGGAAUACCCAGUGUAGAGGUGAAAUUCGUAGAUAUUGGGUGGAACACCGGUGGCGAAGGCGGCCGCCUGGCCCGGUCCUGACGCUGAGGCGCGAAAGCGUGGGGAGCAAACAGG